UUUCCCUCUAGAAGGAUUUUA
rnacentral:snRNA from 1 species